GGGGGUGGGUACUGCGUAAUGUAUUUUUAGACACUGUAAACUUCCUUCUUACUGUGUACGCACGCUUUUGUGGAGUAUUUCUGGGAAAAAUGUUUAUUAUUCCAAAGGACUGGUAACCGCUGACAGAUAUGCGCAGUUGAUCAAAUCAUAUUCAUGACUGACACCCCACGGGGUGUGUUGAAAGAGAGACGAUAUUCAGUAGCGUCAACACUUUAACGCAUGGAUUAAACACAGUGCUCUACAACCAGUUAAGGGGCGGUUUGGAGUUGUUUUCUGAUUCAUACGACCCGGGUCGAUAUGGCCGUUAACGGACAGCGUCAAAUCCUGAGGACUACGGUGUUAAAGUACGUCCGUGAUGAUUCGCACCUACUGGGAACUGGGAGCUUCGGUAAUGUGUACGAAGCAAUAGGGCCUGACAAAACACAGUAUGCCGUGAAGGUGUCGGCACUGUCCAACGUCUCGGAUAAGGACGACCAAUGCGUUUUGACAGAAGCUGUCGGACUGUCACGGUUUGCACACAUGCACAUCCUUCAGUACCUUGACUGCUGGGAGGAGAGAGACCGACAGGGGGCGCGGCGAAUGUACCUGAUAAUGGAAUACUGUCAGGGUCGUGACCUCCGGUACUAUCUGGACAACACCCUCAAACAUCCGCCGGAAGAGAAACUGUUUGGGUGUUGGCUAGCGCAGAUAGCUUCCGGUUUAGAGCAUAUACACAGCCAAAAUGUUCUCCACAGGAACCUGAAGACGUCCAAAAUCCUUGUUUGGUGCAACAAGGAACAAGUGGUUCUGAAGAUUGGAGGUUUUGGACUGUCAAAAGGUCUGAAACAUUCCGACGAUGUAGCAAAGUCAAUGGUUGGAACAGCCAACUUCAUGAGUCCGGAGCUGCUUCAAGGUAAAGCGUAUGACAAAAAGGCAGACAUCUGGAGUUUUGGCUGCACGGCUUUUGAGGUAGCAACACUGAAAUCUCCAAAGCCAAAUCUAGUAAACCAUCUCGAUAAGGAUAUCAAAUACAGCGCUUUCUUCAAGGAUAUCAUCAGACAGAUGUUGAACAGUGAUGCUGGCCGUCGUCCAGAUGCUAAUACGAUACUCAACAUUCUUGCACAGGGAAGUUACUUUUCAAAUGUAGCACAGGAUGGAAUGAACUCGUCAGUGUCGACAGCAUCCUCAGAACAAGCAUCUGGGCUUAACUCAAACUGUGAUAAGACCCCUGCUUCUGAGUUCAGAGAUAGGAACAACAGCGACUCCAGUAAGGGCACUGCUGCUAAGCCGCCUGACCAAGUACAACCUAUUGACAUUGCUUUGCAUCACUUUACACUUAUUAGGCAAAACGAACAGGACCACCUGACGAAAAAGACUGUGACAUUUGCAUCUUCCACUGCUUCAUCAGGCAGCGGUUAUGAAACAGAUAUUAGUUCUUUCGGCAUGUCUAGUAGUUCAACCGCAUCGCCGCGAACACUCCACGGUUCCAGCCUCAACGACAGACAUUCUAAGACAAAGAUGGACAAAGCCGCCAACAGGAAUCCUGACACAGUGACUACUGCCGGCACACGCUAUAUUCCUAAUACUUCGACACAGACCGGGACAUGUGGAUAAAUGAACAAAUAGUAACACUACAGUCGGACAUAACACGGACCAUCGGAUUUGAAGUACUUGCAACAGUGUACAAAACCUUAAAGAUCAAAGAUGAAACGUUGCUUACUAUAUACCUGCAGGACCAGCUGGGGGAUCACGGAGAAGAGGUGUGUGACAAGAUGAUCAGU
rnacentral:misc_RNA from 1 species